rnacentral:rRNA from 2 species
ACCGGCAGCUCAAGUGGUGGCCAUUUUUAUUGGGCCUAAAGCGUUCGUAGCCGGUUUGAUAAGUCUCUGGUGAAAUCCCGCAGCUUAACUGUGGGACUUGCUGGAGAUACUAUUAGACUUGAGGUCGGGAGAGGUUAGGGGUACUCCCAGGGUAGGGGUGAAAUCCUAUAAUCCUGGGAGGACCACCUGUGGCGAAGGCGCCUAACUGGAACGAACCUGACGGUGAGUAACGAAAGCCAGGGGCGCGAACCG